rnacentral:rRNA from 1 species
CCAGACUCCUACGGGAGGCAGCAGUGGGGGAUAUUGGACAAUGGGGGGAACCCUGAUCCAGCGACGCCGCGUGAGUGAAGAAGUAUCUCGGUAUGUAAAGCUCUAUCAGCAGGGAAGAAAGAAAUGACGGUACCUGAGUAAGAAGCCCCGGCUAACUACGUGCCAGCAGCCGCGGUAAUACGUAGGGGGCAAGCGUUAUCCGGAUUUACUGGGUGUAAAGGGAGCGUAGACGGCAGUGCAAGUCUGAAGUGAAAGCCCCGGGCUUAACCCGGGAAUUGCUUUGGAAACUGUACGGCUGGAGUGCUGGAGAGGUAAGCGGAAUUCCUAGUGUAGCGGUGAAAUGCGUAGAUAUUAGGAGGAACACCAGUGGCGAAGGCGGCUUACUGGACAGUAACUGACGUUGAGGCUCGAAAGCGUGGGGAGCAAACAGGAUUAGAUACCCCGGUAGA